UUGAUUUUGGGUGAUUUAGAUUUUUAUUGACUUAGUAAGAGCUUUACAAAGUUAGGGUUUGUUUUGGGUGACUCUAGAUUUGUGAAGUAAAAUGGGAGAUAUUUUUUGGAGAAUUCCAUAAGUUUGGCAGUACAUAUAGGUGAAAUUUUGAAAAUUUGAGGGUAUAUAUGUGUUCAAUAUAUUUUGUGAGUUUGAGCAUGAUUGAAGGGUUGGAUUAAGGAUUA
rnacentral:lncRNA from 1 species